UUAGAUACGCCGACUUUAUUACCAGCUCUACUGUAGGCGAAAUGUAUCAACAUCAUUUUCCAUUUCCACCAAUGAACCUGUACGAGGUAACGGAAUGACAGCCAAAACCAGCUCAGUUCAGAUAUCAGAGGGAAGAAAUGUAAAACGAGGUACAAUUGAAGCUUGGUGAAAUAUGACAUCUGUCGAGUGUCUGCAGUAUAGAACUUCUAUAGCAUUUGUUGUUUUGACUGUUUUUCUAUAAGCCAAUAUUUGUAUUAUGAUAUGUUGUACUAUUCGCAUUACUAUGUUUGAUAAUAACUGUUUUACAAGGAGCGUUCACGUCGAUGCAAUAUUCUCGAUGCUUUCACCACUAUACACGGAAUUCAUAUUGUUCACCAAAUAAGAAGAUUUAAAUAAUUUUCAUAAUGUAUGUUUCUUGUAAUGAUUUAUCAUAUUGUAACGCUAUGCCUAUUUAUAUUAUCGAUUGAAUUACCAUAGCCUUAUACAGUAUAAUGGGACUAAAGUUAAGCAAUUAUUACUGAUUUUACUCUAAACUUGUGAACAGCGGUAGGCCUAUUAUGUGUGAUCUUUUGUAAGUUCGUUUGAAAUUACUUAUAUUAUUAUUAUAUUUCGAUAUGAUGCAUUUUGUGUAAUUUAAUAUAUACUUCUUA